rnacentral:rRNA from 1 species
UACAGAGGUCCCGAGCGUUGUUCGGAUUCAUUGGGCGUAAAGGGUGCGUAGGCGGGUCUUUAAGUCAGGGGUGAAAUCCUGGAGCUCAACUCCAGAACUGCCUUUGAUACUGAAGAUCUUGAGUUCGGGAGAGGUGAGUGGAACUGCGAGUGUAGAGGUGAAAUUCGUAGAUAUUCGGAGGAACACCAGAAGCGAAGGCGGCCAACUGGCCGAUACCUGACGCUGAGGCGCGAAAGCGUGGGGAGGCAAACAGGAUUGAGAUACCCGGAG